rnacentral:rRNA from 1 species
UGGCGGUGUGUACAAGGCCCACCAAGGCUAAGAUGGCUAGCGGGCGUGAGAGCACGACCCGCGCCACUGGCACUGAGACACUGGCCAGACACCUACGGGUGGCUGCAGUCGAGGAUCUUCGUCAAUGGGCGAAAGCCUGAACGAGCGACGCCGCGUGCGCGAUGAAGGCCUUCGGGUUGUAAAGCGCGAAAGUGGGGAAGAAAGCUGAAAGGUUUGACCGAUCCACAGUAAGCUCGGGCUAAGUUCGUGCCAGCAGCCGCGGUAAGACGAACCGAGCGAACGUUGUUCGGAAUCACUGGGCUUAAAGGGCGCGUAGGCGGGCAUCAAAGUCUAUGGUGAAAUCCGGCAGCUUAACUGUCGAACUGCCGUGGAUACUGGGUGUCUCGAGGGAGGUAGGGGCGCGCGGAACUAUUGGUGGAGCGGUGAAAUGCGUUGAUAUCAAUAGGAACUCCGGUGGCGGAGGCGGCGCGCUGGACCUCUUCUGACGCUGAGGCGCGAAAGCCAGGGGAGCAAACGGGAUUAGAUACCCCGGUAGUCCUGGCCCUAAACGUUGGGUACUAGAUAGUAGCCUUCACAUGGGGUUACUGUCGAAGCAAAAGUGCUAAGUACCCCGCCUGGGGAGUAUGGUCGCAAGGCUGAAACUCAAAGGAAUUGACGGGGGCUCACACAAGCGGUGGAGCAUGUGGCUUAAUUCGAGGCUACGCGAAGAACCUUAUCCUGGACUUGACAUUUGCGAAAGCGCUAGGUAGUAGGAGCCGGAAACGGUAACGAAUCCCGCAAGGGAGAGCCUAGUACAGGUGCUGCAUGGCUGUCGUCAGCUCGUGUCGUGAGAUGUCGGGUUAAGUCCCAUAACGAGCGAAACCCUUACCCUUAGUUGCUACUAUUAAGUUAGAGGACUCUAGGGGGACUGCCGGUGUCAAACCGGAGGAAGGCGGGGAUGACGUCAAGUCCUCAUGGCCUUUACGUCCAGGGCUGCACACGUGCUACAAUGGCGUGAACAAAGGGAAGCAAAAGCGCGAGCUCAAGCAAAUCCCAAAAAACACGCCCCAGUUCAGAUUGAAGGCUGCAACUCGCCUUCAUGAAGUUGGAAUCGCUAGUAAUCGCAGGUCAGCAACACUGCGGUGAAUGUGUUCCUGGGCCUUGUACACA